rnacentral:rRNA from 1 species
GAUGAACGCUGGCGGCGUGCCUAAUACAUGCAAGUCGAGCGAACAGACGAGGAGCUUGCUCCUCUGACGUUAGCGGCGGACGGGUGAGUAACACGUGGAUAACCUACCUAUAAGACUGGGAUAACUUCGGGAAACCGGAGCUAAUACCGGAUAAUAUAUUGAACCGCAUGGUUCAAUAGUGAAAGACGGUUUUGCUGUCACUUAUAGAUGGAUCCGCGCCGCAUUAGCUAGUUGGUAAGGUAACGGCUUACCAAGGCGACGAUGCGUAGCCGACCUGAGAGGGGGAAGGGCAAAAAGGGAAUGAGAAAAGGGCCCAAAACACAAGGGGAGGAAGAAGAGGGGAAACUUCGCAAAGGGGGGAAAGCCGAAGGGGGAAACGCCGGGGGGGGGAAGAAGGGUUGCGGAUGGUAAAACUUUGUUAUAAGGAAAAAAAAAAGGGGAAAGUAACAAUGCAGGUCUUGAGGGUCCUAAAAAAAAAAGCCACGGCUAACUACGG